AGGACUAAAACCGGCUUGAUUGAAUGCUACAUGUGGCUUGGCAGCGUAGAUGCAGCAUUACCAAGAGCCUGAGCAGAGUUGUAUCAGAGUCACCUCUUUCAUCUGCAAAGGGUGCUUUGUGCGGUCGUGGACAGGAAAGGGAAAUCCUCGUGUCGCGGAGCAGGGAGGGAAGUAGAGCGUUAACCUUUGGAGGAACCUGUCACAGGAAAGAGCUCCUUCUGGAACUGUUCAGCACUCGCUGAAACACGGUGUACGACACGGGACUUGACGACCAGAGCUGCUUUUGGCAAGGUGAGUGAUGAACAGAUAUAGAAGGUAAUUUAGGGGUGCAGUUGUCACUGCAGUUACUGAACUACACAAAGUACAGUAAAAAUCCUGUUUAUAUUUCAGGGGUGUUGUAGCUGGCCUAAGAGAGCAGAUGGAAGCAUCUGCCUCGAGGGGAGGGGAGGGCGCGGAGGUAAGGCAGCAGAUGAGAGUAACUGUCCCAGCUGUGCUGUGGCUUUGGAUGCUGCUUCAGCCUAUGCUUUUCUUUUUGUUUCACAUUUGUCUCACACAGGCUGAGUGGGGCCAAGCUGCACUCUGAAGAGCAGCACGAGAAGGGCGGGCUGGUUGUGAGCUGGAUUGGAGCAGAACGGCCAAGUAGCACGAGGUGAGUGCGAAGGGUAUCCAUCUUGCUUUGCAGGUGCCAUGGCAGGCUCUCCACAGAAGCGGUUGAGGAUUUGAGAAGAGGUUGCAGAUCAUCAAGGAGCGACACGUGCAGGGAUGGCUUGAAAACGGUAUGGCUGCUUUCUCUUCUGUUUAUCAGGUGUCCCAGGCAAUGUGGGCUGUGGUGUUAGUCUUUAGAAUCGGAAC
rnacentral:lncRNA from 1 species